AUGGUAGCCUCCCAUCUGGCAAGUAGAGAGGAGUUCCCUUACGUUGUUACUGGAACAACCUGGGUCAGUGAAAUAUUGGAUUUGAUCUAUAAUAAUGGGGAUGUGGAGAAAUGUAAGCAGGAUGCAAUAUACAAACAAGUGCCGUUCAUGGAAAUGAUUGUUCCUGGACUCCAGAAUGGUGUGGAGGAGUUGAAAAAAAUGCAGCCUCCUUGAUUAGUGAAAACACACCUACCUGUUCAACGUCUCCCUUCUUCAUUUUGGGAAAAUACCUGCAAGAUGGUCUAUGUGGCAUGAAAUGCUAAGGAUGUGGCUGUGUUUUACUAUUAUUUCUACCAGAUGGCAAAAUUAUACCCAGAGCCUGGCACCUGGGAGGAGUUCCUAGAUAAAUUCAUGACUGGGAAGGUGGCUUAUGGUUCUUGGUAUGACCAUGUGAAGGGCUGGUGGGAGAAGACGAAUGAUUAUCAUAUCCUUUACCUAUUCUAUGAAGACAUGAAAGAGGAUCCAAAGCAUGAAAUUCAGAAGUUGUUAAAGUUUCUAGACAAAGAUCUGUCAGAAGAAACUAUGGAUAAAAUCCUCUGUCAUAGCUCUUUCAAUGUGAUGAAGCAGAAUCCAAGUACAAAUUAUAUCACUGUAGCAGAUUUUGAUAUGGAUCAUUCUGUAUCUCCCAUCAUGAGAAAGGGUAUUUCAGGAGAUUGGAAAAACCAGUUCACUGUAGCCGAGUAUGAAAGAUUUGAAAAAGAUUAUUAAAAGAAAAUGAAAGGGUCGGGGGACAGAGCAAGAUGGCGGAGGGCUCUGCAUAGGUAUAAUCUCCACGGCAAGGGCUUGGCAACCGCUGCGUACGGUGAUCUGUACCCGUCUUGUUAA